rnacentral:rRNA from 1 species
GAUGAACGCUGGCGGCGUGCCUAAUACAUGCAAGUCGAGCGAAUGGAUUGAGAGCUUGCUCUUAUGAAGUUAGCGGCGGACGGGUGAGUAACACGUGGGUAACCUGCCCAUAAGACUGGGAUAACUCCGGGAAACCGGGGCUAAUACCGGAUAACAUUUUGAACCGCAUGGUUCGAAGUUGAAAGGCGGCGUCGGCUGUCACUUAUGGAUGGACCCGCGUCGCAUUAGCUAGUUGGUGAGGUAACGGCUCACCAAGGCAACGAUGCGUAGCCGACCUGAGAGGGUGAUCGGCCACACUGGGACUGAGACACGGCCCAGACUCCUACGGGAGGCAGCAGUAGGGAAUCUUCCGCAAUGGACGAAAGUCUGACGGAGCAACGCCGCGUGAGUGAUGAAGGCUUUCGGGUCGUAAAACUCUGUUGUUAGGGAAGAACAAGUGCUAGUUGAAUAAGCUGGCACCUUGACGGUACCUAACCAGAAAGCCACGGCUAACUACGUGCCAGCCGCCGCCGUAA